rnacentral:rRNA from 1 species
UGCAGGCUGCAACUCGCCUGCAUGAAGUCGGAAUUGCUAGUAAUCGCAGAUCAGCAUGCUGUGGUGAAUACGUUCCCGGGCCUUGUACACACCGCCCGUCACACCAUGGGAGUCGGUAACACCCAAAGUUGGUAGUCUAACCGCAAGGAGGACGCCGCCUAAGGUGGGAUUGAUGACUGGGGUGAAGUCGUAACAAGGUACC